UCGGGAAUUUUGGGCAAUGGGCGAAAGCCUGACCCAGCAACGCCGCGUGAGGGAUGAAGUAUCUCGGUAUGUAAACCUCGAAAGAAUGGGAAGAAUAAAUGACGGUACCAUUUAUAAGCUCCGGCUAACCACGUGCCAGCAGCCGCGGUAAUACGUAGGGAGCAAGCGUUGUUCGGAUUUACUGGGCGUAAAGGGCGCGUAGGCGGCGCGGUAAGUCACUUGUGAAAUCUCUGAGCUUAACUCAGAACGGCCAAGUGAUACUGCUGUGCUAGAGUGCGGAAGAGGCAACCGGAAUUCUUGGUGUAGCGGUGAAAUGCGUAGAUAUCAAGAGGAACACCUGAGGCGAAGGCGGGUUGCUGGGCCGACACUGACGCUGAUGCGCGAAAGCCAGGGGAGCAAACG
rnacentral:rRNA from 1 species